CGCGUAGGUAACCUGCCUUGUAGCGGGGGAUAACUAUUGGAAACGAUAGCUAAUACCGCAUAACAAUGGAUGACACAUGUCAUUUAUUUGAAAGGGGCAAUUGCUCCACUACAAGAUGGACCUGCGUUGUAUUAGCUAGUAGGUGAGGUAAUGGCUCACCUAGGCGACGAUACAUAGCCGACCUGAGAGGGUGAUCGGCCACACUGGGACUGAGACACGGCCCAG
rnacentral:rRNA from 2 species